AAAUUGAAGAGUUUGAUCAUGGCUCAGAUUGAACGCUGGCGGCAGGCCUAACACAUGCAAGUCGAACGGUAACAGGAAGAAGCUUGCUUCUUUGCUGACGAGUGGCGGACGGGUGAGUAAUGUCUGGGAAACUGCCUGAUGGAGGGGGAUAACUACUGGAAACGGUAGCUAAUACCGCAUAACGUCGCAAGACCAAAGAGGGGGACCUUCGGGCCUCUUGCCAUCGGAUGUGCCCAGAUGGGAUUAGCUAGUAGGUGGGGUAACGGCUCACCUAGGCGACGAUCCCUAGCUGGUCUGAGAGGAUGACCAGCCACACUG
rnacentral:rRNA from 1 species